AUGUUUUGUUUCAUCGCAGAAAAAAAUCCAUUCAUGAAAUCCUUGAGUAUGCAUGCACAAAAAAAAUCAACAUAUCCAUAUUACAUCGCAAAAACAAGUAUUUUAGUAUUACAUCUUAAAGAAAAUACAUUCAUAUACCGUCGCAAGCAAGGAUAUGUCAGUAGAAGAAGUUUGUUUUACAGCCAGACGCAUACAGCUAAAUUUUGUCUAAUAGAGAGGAAAAGGGAGGCCCAAAAUCUCAACCCCCACCAUGAAUCCGGAACAACUAUAACAAAAGCAGAUCUUGAAUGUGGUGUCACUGACUCCCCUGUAAUCAUGCUAAAAAAUCUUACUGUUCCAGUUUUUUCCUAA
rnacentral:rRNA from 1 species